UACGUAGGGUGCGAGCGUUAAUCGGAAUUACUGGGCGUAAAGCGUGCGCAGGCGGUAAUGUAAGACAGAUGUGAAAUCCCCGGGCUAACCUGGGACCUGCAUUUGUGACUGCAUUGCUGGAGUGCGGCAGAGGGGAUGGAAUUCCGGCGUGUAGCAGUGAAAUGCGUAGAUAUCGGGAGGAACACCGGUGGCGAAGGCGGCGAUCUGGGUAGAUACUGACGCUGAGGUGCGAAAGCGUGGGGAGCAAACAGG
rnacentral:rRNA from 1 species